rnacentral:rRNA from 1 species
UACAGAGGGGGCAAGCGUUGUUCGGAAUUACUGGGCGUAAAGGGCGCGUAGGCGGCCUGUUAAGUCGAACGUGAAAUCCCCGGGCUCAACCCGGGAACUGCGUCCGAUACUGGAAGGCUUGAAUCCGGGAGAGGGAUGUGGAAUUCCAGGUGUAGCAGGUGAAAUGCGUAGAUAUCUGGAGGAAUACCGGUGGCGAAGGCGGCAUCCUGGACCGACAUUGACGCUGAACGGCGAAAGCUAGGGGAGCAAACGGG